GUCUAAUACCGGAUAUGAGCUCCUGUCGCAUGGCGGGGGUUGGAAAGGUUUACUGGUGCAGGAUGGGCCCGCGGCCUAUCAGCUUGUUGGUGGGGUAAUGGCCUACCAAGGCGACGACGGGUAGCCGGCCUGAGAGGGCGACCGGCCACACUGGGACUGAGACACGGCCCAGACUCCUACGGGAGGCAGCAGUGGGGAAUAUUGCACAAUGGGCGAAAGCCUGAUGCAGCGACGCCGCGUGAGGGAUGACGGCCUUCGGGUUGUAAACCUCUUUCAGCAGGGACGAAGCGAAAGUGACGGUACCUGCAGAAGAAGCACCGGCCAACUACGUGCCAGCAGCCGCGGUAAUACGUAGGGUGCGAGCGUUGUCCGGAAUUACUGGGCGUAAAGAGCUCGUAGGCGGUUUGUCGCGUCGUCUGUGAAAACCCGCAGCUCAACUGCGGGCUUGCAGGCGAUACGGGCAGACUUGAGUACUGCAGGGGAGACUGGAAUUCCUGGUGUAGCGGUGAAAUGCGCAGAUAUCAGGAGGAACACCGGUGGCGAAGGCGGGUCUCUGGGCAGUAACUGACGCUG
rnacentral:rRNA from 1 species